rnacentral:rRNA from 1 species
AUGGUCGACGCCCGCCCCAGCUUCAACGGUGGGCACUAUGCCGACACACUGAAGAUCGUGUCCGAGGCGAAGGCCGCGGGCAAUGCAUGCGAGAACGCGUUUAAGGGGAUCCACAAAAAACCUCCGGUGGCCGACAUGAAUCGCGAGACGAUGGAGCGAUGCGGCGUCGUCAGGGACCUCAUCGGCCUGCUCAUCACCAACGCCUUUUGCUCCUCCUCCACCGCCACCACCUCCUCCUCCCGAGCCGGAUUAGAGUCUCCUCUUAGCUUUAUUUGGGGCUCGUCUUGCUGUGCCCCCAGCAUGAUUCUACGACUUAUUGUACUUGACUUUGUGACUUCGGAUGCUUGGUGUCUAGAAGGCAAGCCCAGCUUAUCUGGUAGAGUCCAGGCCCGGAACGGCAUUCCGUUGUCCUCUAACGGCACGCCAUUCCCCAUCCCUCUCGCCGCUGCCGUCCCCGUCUCUGACUUCUCUCUCUCUCCGGCCAAAUCAAUCCACCCGCCGGCGGCGAGCACGGAGACAGAGGGGUAG